rnacentral:rRNA from 1 species
CUUAAGGAUUUUGGCCACCGAAAUUUCGGUCCUCGCUUCGAUAAAAAAGGAACCGAAUUGGGAUCUUGGUGGGAAUUCCGGAAUCCCGGGAACCAUGGAUCCUUUAACCCAAGUGGCCCCCAAACCCUUKGGUCGAGGGCACGUUUGCCUGGGUGUCACA